rnacentral:lncRNA from 1 species
GGUCAGACAAGGAAGGGGGGAUACACAUACAACAUACCUUUUCCAUUCCUUGCUUGCUGGCUUACUACUUCCAUUGCAAAAACUGCUACUACUGCAUAAAACGUCACUUGUCUGCUAAUAAUGCAUACAAAGUUACCGAGAGAUUGGAAAUUUGAUAUUGUAUGAUAGAUUGCAUUCGUGACACUCAGUGUCCGAACCCCUAAAUGCAUAGAAUGAAAUGACAUGAUUGAUAUCAAGCAUCAGCGCAAAAAAACACGCACCAGAGCCAGCGCUACAAGAAAGCAUCGUUAGGGAGCCAGGGGAGCCUAAAGUACCCAAAAGGAGAAUUGCGAAAUCAAGGGAAUUGUCGUUAUCUUAAAACUAAGCGACACUUUCAAUCAUCCAUCGUUCUUUCGUUCUUUCUCUCUCACAAACAAUCGUUAUAUCCUUUUUUCGUGGCUUCCCACUUUACUGCACAAUGAGGGGAGUACGAGAGAGAGCACGGUGCGGUAAUGGAUUGAAUUUUCAAAAUGGAAAGCAAAAGCGAAAUCAUCCAUUCUCGCAGACGUUAGCAAGGUUGGAGUAUGAGCUGGUUAAAAUUUUUUGAGACUUGAUUUGAUCAACGAUCGGAUUACUCAAUUGUUUGGCUAAACCGGUUGCAUCCCCUCCAUCCCUCCUUCCAUUCCAUCUUCCAUCCACACAACUCGCUUUUCAAUUCGAAUCGGCAAAACACAUUGAAUCGUCUCUGCCGCAAACGUUGUCGGUGCAUGCUGGAUUUGCAUCUCUCGCGAAUUCGUUAGCGAUGCCAUUCGCUUGUGCUGACCGCUCUCCCUCCCUCCUUUCUUCUCUUCCUCCUUGCUUACCUCUUCGCUCAAUCUACCUUCACUCACCCUCUGUACUUCUUCACUGUAUCUCGAUCGACUCGGACUCUGCACCUCUUCACUAUAUCGGGGAUGCGCCGGUCCCUGCAUCUCACGUUUCUUGUUCACCGCCCUUAACAAUUCCACCCGCAAAAAGUGUUCCACUCCAAAUUGCUGUGUUUCAAAUGUUUCCGGACAUUCCUCCGGCACAACCAUCGAAGCGCUCAUGUUUUCCAACUCAAACACUCCCCGUGUAAUUCUACACCACACUUUUCGCGUCGCCCUCUCCGUCCCUACGCUGUUGCGUAUACGGAUGUCUGGCACAAUACGCUCCACACUUUCAAGUUGCAUAUGCACUUGUCGAACCAUCGCGUCCAGUCCUUCUAGCUCAAUCAUCAUCAUCUCUCCUGUCCGAUAUCUGCUUUUGCUCAAAAGCAAUCGACAUAACACUUUUUGUUUGCUUGUAAUCUCAAACCUCGUGGCCAUUGGUUGCUUGGAUUCGAGUUUUUUUAACAACGCAAUUUUUUCUUCAUCCUCUUCCUCUAAUACUUCUUCAUUGAUCUCUGACCUCAUUCCAUGAUCUUGGAAUUCUCCUCCUCCCUCUUCAUUAGACUCUCCAUCAAGUAGCUUUUUUAUGUGUUGCUCGUAUUUCUUUUUUUGCUUCUCUUCCUCCUGCGCAUCCUGCGAAAGUCGUAUACCGUUUUUACCGAAUUGCCUACGUGCUUUCUCUGCUGAAACCUCUUCAAUUUCUGCCGCAUCUGUUUCAAUAAUCGGUUUGGAUAAAUCUGCAAACAGCUUCGAGGAUUGUCUGUUUCCCGAAUUCUUUCCGAGUGGCAGUUCAGGUUGCUGUUGAACGUUGGGUACUAUAGUAAUUUCAAAUUCAUGCUCUACACAAGCAUUGUUGGUAGCUGAUUGGACUCCUAUGACCAGUGCGUGUUGAAAUCGAAAGGCCAAUCCUUUAUAUGUAGGUGCUGUUCGAAGGGGAAUUCUUCGCUUCAACCGAAAGCAUUUUUCCUCUCCAGGAGAAAGCGUGAUAUCGACUCCUAAUAUAUCUGGACGAGUCAGUAGCACUGGAAUGGCAUUUUCCUGCUUUUGUUCUUUAUCGGUUAGUAUUCAUGCUUAAGCAGUAGGUUGCAGUAAAAAUAAGAGUAACCAUCUUCCAAAAAAAAAAAAAAAAAAAAAAAAAAUUGAAUAAAGAGUAAAUAUGUUUCAAAUGAAUUACAAAACUCUUCCCAGACAACCUUUCUGUAAUUCGUCAAUUGACUUUAUGUCCACCUCACCGUAUAAGCACUCUUCCGAGCUAUAUCUUCCCUCCAAAUGUAAGCCAAUUGAGAGAUUUUUUUUACCAAGUCUUUAUUUCCUUUUGCACCCUUUCACCAUUACAUACCUGAGGCCUCUGUCAAUGUACUUGCUUGUUUAACUCCAAAUAAAUUUCCAAUCAUCCCGUUCAGAGUAUUAAUAACAGAAUAACUGCUGGAUACCUUGGGAAUAUGUACUAAUCCGCUCAUUGUCCUUUUGUUUAAGAGCCCCUGCCUCUGAACCUCAUCGAAUUCUGUAACGCGCACCAGUACAUAGUCAAGGUACAUUUCACCAUGGAUAGAAGCAUAGCACAAAAGUAAAUUUACAUCUUCUGAACUCCUUAGAUUCGUGAAUUUUACAAUGCACUCAAAGUCAGUUCCGGAUUGAACUACAUUCACUGGCAUGUACAUUUGCACAUCACAUUCUGUCAUUGUCGAACACCACUAAACUCUUAUAUUCGAUAAUUUCUCAAGCCGCUGGCUUCAGCUUUACCUUAAUAAUAACCAUACAACUUGGAUUUCUUCAUUCGUAUUGACGAACGUUUAUUAGUCUCGUAACAAAUGCACAAUCAAAAUAGUACUGUAAAAGAGCCCACUUUUCUUCCUCCACGACUCAUUUUACGAGAUUAAAUAACGAACGCCCACAAUCAAUUUUUUACACUCUCCUUACUAUUCCUUAAUUUACUCAUUUACGAAUGUUUUAACGAAGCUUUGUUAACUCUCUGCUUUUGGC